GUGUCCCUUUAAGAUUGCUGUAGUGUUUUAAGAAGCUAACACAAAAGGACAAAGUAAGUCUCCAUAGAAUCCCGAGAGCAGACUGCAGAACUCCUCUUUGGAUCCUGUCUGGAGACAGCUAA
rnacentral:snoRNA from 1 species